rnacentral:rRNA from 1 species
CCUACGGGAGGCAGCAGUGGGGAAUUUUGGACAAUGGGCGAAAGCCUGAUCCAGCAAUGCCGCGUGAGUGAAGAAGGCCUUCGGGUUGUAAAGCUCUUUUGUCAGGGAAGAAACGGUGAGAGCUAAUAUCUCUUGCUAAUGACGGUACCUGAAGAAUAAGCACCGGCUAACUACGUGCCAGCAGCCGCGGUAAUACGUAGGGUGCAAGCGUUAAUCGGAAUUACUGGGCGUAAAGCGUGCGCAGGCGGUUUUGUAAGUCUGAUGUGAAAUCCCCGGGCUCAACCUGGGAAUUGCAUUGGAGACUGCAAGGCUAGAAUCUGGCAGAGGGGGGUAGAAUUCCACGUGUAGCAGUGAAAUGCGUAGAUAUGUGGAGGAACACCGAUGGCGAAGGCAGCCCCCUGGGUCAAGAUUGACGCUCAUGCACGAAAGCGUGGGGAGCAAACAGGAUUAGAUACCCUGGUAGUCCACGCCCUAAACGAUGUCUACUAGUUGUCGGGUCUUAAUUGACUUGGUAACGCAGCUAACGCGUGAAGUAGACCGCCUGGGGAGUACGGUGCAAGNUUAAAACGUCAAAGGAAUUGACGGCNGAGAGNGCGAGGACGACGACGAGGGAGGAGG